UACGUAGGGUGCAGGCGUUAAUCGGAAUUACUGGGCGUAAAGCGCACGUAGGCGGAUCGAUCAGUCAGGGGUGAAAUCCCAGAGCUCAACUCUGGAACUGCCUUUGAUACUGUCGAUCUGGAGUAUGGAAGAGGUGAGUGGAAUUCCGAGUGUAGAGGUGAAAAUUCGUAGAUAUUCGGAGGAACACCAGUGGCGAAGGCGGCUCACUGGUCCAUUACUGACGCUGAGGUGCGAAAGCGUGGGGAGCAAACAGG
rnacentral:rRNA from 1 species